UACGGCCACUUCACUUUGAAACACCUGUUCUUGUACGAUCACCGAAGUUAAGCAACGUCGAACCUGCUCAGUACCUAGAUGGGUGACCGCUUAGGAAUUCCAGGUGA
rnacentral:rRNA from 1 species